AGUUUCAGUUGUUAGAGAGAGGUUUAUAAUAACUUGAACUUGAAGGAGCCCCCAAAACACUACAUUAUAGACAGCAUUUAGGAUUAUCUCAUGACCAGUCUCAAACAUUUCACGAGUUCACUGCAGCAUAACGGUAUUUCUCAAGUGUAGAUUUGUAAUAAUUAUAACAAUUUUGAGACAGUGUUGAGGUUUCCACUCAGACUGACACAUGGGUUUAUUUACCAAGGUUGACCACAACUAUAAUCCAAAAUAUGGAAUAAGCAAGACAAAGUGUCUAAACACAUUAAUACUGUGUACUUGAAAGUUAUUAACUAUGAAACAAAGGGCAUAUUUUCCUUGUGGAGCUUCAUUGUUACAUUUGUAUUAAGAUGUACUUCUGCAUUUAUAAACAUUACUUAUUGUAUAAUUACACAAAUUACAUUUUAAAUCCAGUAAUAUUAACCAAAAGAAAUGUAUUUAACAAAGCCAUUUCAGCAAAGGCGGAAGUACUUAGACAUUAUUUAUCUCUCUUCUUUUGAACUCUUUGUUCGUUCUACUCGUUAAUCGAUCCCGGGCUCCACCUUUUCCCUGCUCUUCCUUAGGUUGCGAUUGAUAUCAAAAAGUCCUUAUAUGGAAGGAAACGUCCCAAAUUCCUGGCGGUGGGAGUGACCAACGGGUCCCACCCUGAAUACCAGGCCAGCAGUGGACGAGACAGUUGGUCGUUUUUUCUGCUUUGAGUCACAGACGGCUCUAAAAAAGUUUAGCGGAACUGAAGUAAGCAGAGUGAGCUACUGGGGUGACGUAAUGGGGCUGCUGUGUAGUUUGAGAUAACAGAUACCACCUUUCUCCCCUUUGCCAAAACUCUUUCAAAGGCAUGUCUGGGAGUAUACAAAUCAGACUGAAUCACAAUCAACUCAACCAACAAAGAGUUUGGGCUCAACUUUGAACUUUUGACGGAAUUAAAAACAUCAAGAUGUCCACAUUUGCUGUGAGUGUCAGCUCUGACCGGCUACAGCUCCAACCCCGACUAAAGGUAACUUGCCUUGUCAUAUUGUUUAUAUGAACAUCUUGAGAUAACAAACCAUAUAAUUUAUGUGUUUUUAAAUAUAAAGGAAGGUUUUAACAUGUGCAUUUACACAAACAACAGGAAAUCGUGCUCACAGACACCUCCCCAGUUAUGUUUCCUGAAAGACUACAAUCUUAUUAUAAACAAUAGGCAUUUGUUUAUAGAGAUAUGCUCAGCUGGAAGACAACUGAACUAACACAAACACACAGUAGGUUGUUUCAGGGUUGGACAUCUGCUCUGACCUUGUUCAUAAAUCUAGUCCAAAGUGAAAUGAUGUGUGGUAUAAUUUAAUAUGUUUGAGGUCAGGGCGUUCAGUUAGCCAAUAACAGCUAAAUAUAAGCUAAUAGAUAGUAGUUCAACAUUUACAAUAACUGUCCUGGAAUUACUUAUAACUGCCACUAGAACAGCUCACUACGGCCAAAUAAUGUGAUCGUAUUCAAGAGGUGAAUUUCCUGCCAAGGUGUGAACAUUUUGCACACGUUUCCCAGACAUAGAUGGUAAUUGAAUAUCAUACGUGAGGAGUGAUGUCAUCGGUCCAGGUGUUUCUUUUCACCUCUCAGACAUGUGUGUCAGCUCAUACAAACAGCUGUGUACCUCAGUGUUCGUGUGGCUGUCGGUGACAUCAUAAAUGUGGAAAGACAGAUGAUUUAAGGUCUGGCGUACAAACACGCAAGAGACAAGUUACUCACCGAGAUACAGUAAAAUGAUUCAAGGUACUUGAAUCAUGGUGAUGACGUCAAAACCCCACCUACCAUACCUAUUUACGCAAUAAACAUAUUACAUAAAACUAUUAGUUUAGCUUAUUGACUUUAACAAUGUGUACAUGACCGAAAUCGAAUUAUUCUGACUGUGUGAAUGAUCAUUUGUAAGGCUACAAUAAUAACAGGUCCGAGCCAGUUGUUACAAAAGGUAUUAAUUUGCUGAGGCCACACCAUUCUUACUGUACGUCACAAACUACCGAUGUAGACAAGUGGAGAGUGCGCGCCCCCAUGUGGAACAACUCGGUAAGUGCAACAAUCCAGUUGCGCUCUUAUUGUAAAGGGAGAGUUUUCUGGACUUUGUUGUCAAUAAAAUACAAAAGUUAUGUAAUUUCUAUCGGCCAAGAGAAUUACUGGGUAGAAUUUAUAUACAAGAAUGCUGCCCUAGGCCUGCACUUUUUCCCUAAGUGACAGAGAUUCUGUUUAAGAAAAUAUUUAGCAUCAGAUUGAAAAAGAAUUCAUCCACUGGGUAUUGCAGGUUGAAUAAUGAAAGCGGCCAUUUAAAACUUUAGAAAAAGCAACUUGAGGACUUUAACAAGUGCAUUUUAAUACUAAAAAAAACAAAUAGUAAAAUUAAUUCUUCUUAGAGAAUAAAUCUUACUAUUUGUUCUUACAGAUUACUGGAUAAUCUUAGAUUACUGCAGCAACACUGCAGCCUUUCAGGUGUCAGACUUAAACGUUCAAUUUUUUGUUUUAUCAUCACAAUAAAUAAUGGCAUGAAUACAUAAAUAAAGCAGCCCCGGAGCAGGGGAGGAGACACUGCAUACUGUUAAAAUACCAUCAAAUUAUACCUCAAUUAUUAAAAGUAUCCAGAACUCAUUUAGGAACUUCUCAUUUCAUCAAAGCAGUUCAACAAUGUCUACACACUAUUUUGUCAUAAAAAGAGGCAGCAGUCUGUGGACUGAGCGUUAGAUUUAGAUCAUUUUAUUUGUCAAACAACUGAGAGAUGUUAAACACUUAACAAAUAAAGAUGCCUCAGACAAACCGCAGAAAACAGAUUCUUAUCAACCAGUUGUAGCACUUUUCCUUUAUUGCCAGCUGUGUUGUGUUGCAGUCGUCUGCAGCUUCACCCUUGCUAGACCAACGUGUACAAAAGAAAUUGGAACAGAAACGGUGCAUAUAACAGCGUCAUGGGAUUUGAAUUAUCGCACAUAAACCCAGCUCUACAGACAGGCGUGUUUACUGCAAAUCCAGAUUAACCAUUUUUACCAAGGCACAUUGGUAGGGAUGAGUGACUUAAAAGAA